rnacentral:rRNA from 1 species
GAGGAAAGAUUUAUCGCCUUUGGAUUGGCCCGCGUUGGAUUAGGUAGUUGGUGGGGUAAUGGCCUACCAAGCCGACGAUCCAUAGCUGGUUUGAGAGGAUGAUCAGCCACACUGGGACUGAGACACGGCCCAGACUCCUACGGGAGGCAGCAGUGGGGAAUCUUAGACAAUGGGGGAAACCCUGAUCUAGCCAUGCCGCGUGAUCGAUGAAGGCCUUAGGGUUGUAAAGAUCUUUCAGGUGGGAAGAUAAUGACUGUACCACCAGAAGAAGCCCCGGCUAACUCCGUGCCAGCAGCCGCGGUAAUACGGAGGGGGCUAGCGUUAUUCGGAAUUACUGGGCGUAAAGCGCACGUAGGCGGACCAGAAAGUCAGAGGUGAAAGCCCGGGGCUCAACCCCGGAACGGCCUUUGAAACUCCUGGUCUUGAGGUCGAGAGAGGUGAGUGGAAUUCCGAGUGUAGAGGUGAAAUUCGUAGAUAUUCGGAGGAACACCAGUGGCGAA